GAUCCCAGCUUGAGCAGCAGUUGGAGUUAGCCAAGCGAGGCAGCGUGAGCACUAGGAGAGGGAGGGGAGAAGGAGAACUUAGGUUGCAUGGCACCAAUGGUCGGCUCCUUAUCCAGAAUCACGCGUCGGGAAAGGAGGUUCGAGGACUGCUUCUUCUUGGGACGCCACAUCCAUCGAGCUCUUACCCCAUCACCGCUGCCAUCCAUGGAGCUCUGACCUAUGGCCAACAAUUCGUCAUGGUGCACGAAAGACCCAGCGUGUGGUGUGCAUGUGGAAUUCUUCUUCACACUCAAACACAGGUUAUGGGAGUGGCUCUCUGACGUUGCUCCUCGAGGAUGAUGCACUUGAAACCCUCUUUGAUGCCCGAGUUUGGUGCCAUGGAGAUCGACGAUGAAGAUGUCAUUGCCCACAAAAGUGUCAAGGCAUUGAAGAGAGAAGACAUGUCCCCUGAGAGCCGAGAUGUGGAAAGCAUUAGGUAAAGUGGCAAGAGGAGCCGGAUGUGCAGCUUGUGCUUUUCUUUGUUGGCUGGUGGUUGCUGCUGAAGUGCAGAUUGAUGAUGCCUGGUGAUAUUGAAGUCCUAGUAGAUAGAUAUGCCCUAUGAUAAUUGUUUUCUUGUUGGUGGCUUACUUGUCGGCUGGUAGGUAUUGAGUCGAUGAAGUACCUUGUCGAAUUCUCAGCUCUUGUUGAUGUUCUCUUUUCUCGAUGGAGAGAGAGAGUGAUAUAUGAAGUGUAAAUUUCUGCAUAUUUUUUUCCACGAGUCUCUCCGAAAUGAAACCGGGAAUUGUGUGCCAUGCCAAUCUAUCUAUCUCUCUGUCUGUGAGUUGCCG
rnacentral:rRNA from 1 species